GGGGAGGUUCCCGAGCGGUCAAAGGGGGCAGACUGUAAAUCUGUUGGCUACGCCUUCGAAGGUUCGAAUCCUUCUCUCCCCA
rnacentral:tRNA from 2 species